rnacentral:other from 1 species
GUUUCAGACGAACCCUUAUGGGGUUAAAAU